rnacentral:rRNA from 1 species
CGAAAGCCUGACGGAGCAAGACCGCGUGGGGGAGGAAGGCUCUAGGGUUGUAAACCCCUUUUCUUUGGGAAGAACAAAAUGACGGUACCAAAGGAAUCAGCCUCGGCUAACUCCGUGCCAGCAGCCGCGGUAAGACGGAGGAUGCAAGCGUUAUCCGGAAUUAUUGGGCGUAAAGCGUCCGUAGGCGGUUUAUCAAGUCUGUCGUUAAAGACUGCAGCUCAACUGUGGAAGAGCGGUGGAAACUGAUUGACUAGAGUGUGGUAGGGGUAGAGGGAAUUCCCAGUGUAGCGGUGAAAUGCGUAGAUAUUGGGAAGAACACCAGUGGCGAAGGCGCUCCACUGGGCCACAACUGACGCUGAGGGACGAAAGCUAGGGGAGCG